GGACUCACUUCAGGAGCAUAUACACUAAAAUUGGAACAACAUACCAAAGAUUAGUGUGAUCCUGCACAGGCAUGGCUUGCAAAUUCAUGAAGUGUUCCAUAUUUUU
rnacentral:snRNA from 1 species